UACGAAGGGGGCUAGCGUUGUUCGGAAUCACUGGGCGUAAAGCGCACGUAGGCGGAUCUUUAAGUCAGGGGUGAAAUCCCGAGGCUCAACCUCGGAACUGCCUUUGAUACUGGGGAUCUCGAGUCCGGGAGAGGUGAGUGGAACUGCGAGUGUAGAGGUGAAAUUCGUAGAUAUUCGCAAGAACACCAGUGGCGAAGGCGGCUCACUGGCCCGGUACUAACGCUGAGGUGCGAAAGCGUGGGGAGCAAACAGG
rnacentral:rRNA from 1 species